GGGCGCUUGGUCUAGGGGUAUGAUUUUCGCUUCGCAUCAUGGAUUAAACCCCCAAAUGCGUCAACUUGUGAAAGGUCGUGGGUUCAAUUCCCACAGCGUCCA